rnacentral:rRNA from 1 species
UGGGGAAUUUUGGACAAUGGGGGAAACCCUGAUCCAGCCAUCCCGCGUGUGCGAUGAAGGCCUCCGGGUUGUAAAGCACUUUUGGCAGGAAAGAAACGUCAUGGGUUAAUACCCCGUGAAACUGACGGUACCUGCAGAAUAAGCACCGGCUAACUACGUGCCAGCAGCCGCGGUAAUACGUAGGGUGCAAGCGUUAAUCGGAAUUACUGGGCGUAAAGCGUGCGCAGGCGGUUCGGAAAGAAAGAUGUGAAAUCCCAGAGCUCAACUUUGGAACUGCAUUUUUAACUACCGGGCUAGAGGGUGGCAGAGGGAGGUGGAAUUCCGCGUGUAGCAGUGAAAUGCGUAAAUAUGCGGAGGAACACCGAUGGCGAAGGCAGCCUCCUGGGAUAACACUGACGCUCAUGCACGAAAGCGUGGGGAGCAAACAGG